AAUUCGCCCUUGAGCACGUAGGUGGGUUUGUAAGUCAGGUGUGAAAGCCUUCUGUUCAACGGGAGAAUUGCAUCUGAAACUACGAAUCUUGAGUGUAGGAGGGGAGAAUGGAACUUCUGGUGGAGCGGUGAAAUGCGUAGAUAUCAGAAGGAACGCCGGCGGCGAAAGCGAUUCUCUGGCCUAUUACUGACACUCAGUGUGCGAAAGCUAGGGGAGCAAACGGGAUUAGAUACCCCGGUAGUCCUAGCCGUAAACGAUGGGCACUAAGUAGAGGGGAUUACCGACGUUCUCUCUGCCGUAGCUAACGCAUUAAGUGCCCCGCCUGGGGAGUACGGCCGCAGGGCUAAAACUCAAAAGAAUUGACGGGGGCUCGCACAAGCGGUGGAGCAUGUGGCUUAAUUCGAUGCAACGCGAAGAACCUUACCGGGGCUUGACAUGGUAGAAGUAGGAACCCGAAAGGGUAACGAACGGUAUCCAGUCCGUAGCUAUCACAGGUGUUGCAUGGCUGUCGUCAGCUCGUGUCGUGAGACGUUGGGUUAAGUCCCCUAACGAGCGAAACCCUUGUUUUUAGUUACCAGCGGGUUGUGCCGGGUACUCUAGAAAGACUGCCGUCGUCAAGACGGAGGAAGGUGGGGAUGACGUCAAGUCAUCGUGGCCCUUAUGCCCCGGGCUGCACACGCGCUACAAUGGUCGGUACAAACGGAAGCGAAGCCGAGAGGUGAAGCGAAUCCAAGGGCGAAUU
rnacentral:rRNA from 1 species